UACGUAGGGUGCGAGCGUUGUCCGGAAUUAUUGGGCGUAAAGAGCUCGUAGGCGGUGUGUCGCGUCGGCCGUGAAAACCUGCAGCUUAACUGUGGGCUUGCGGUCGAUACGGGCAUCACUGGAGUUCGGCAGGGGAGACUGGAAUUCCUGGUGUAGCGGUGAAAUGCGCAGAUAUCAGAAGGAACACCAAUGGCGAAGGCAGCUCGCUGGGACGGUACUGACGCUGAGACGCGAAAGCGUGGGGAGCAAACAGG
rnacentral:rRNA from 1 species